AGGACCUCAGGAUGGAACAGGGGUGGGGGAAAGUGCUAGCUAGCGUUGGUCAAGAAACUACAGUUGCAUUGGUCUCCCUUAAAAUGAAGGAUUCUCUCCAUGCAAGAGUCUGGAAAUUCCUUCCAUAAGACAAAGAAUUAACCGAUCAUGAUCUUAAGUAUUGAAAUUGAUGUCUGAGAACCAGAUGUAUUCCACUCCAGCUAGCCGAUUGUUUUGAGCCACCCUGUGACUAUACCUAAACAGCUUCUUUUUCAAACUUCUAAAUAUCUUCGUUCAUCCAUGCCAAUAUCAACACCUCAGGUUACUGGAUUUGCUGUUUUGUAUAGUGACAUUGCAUUCAUUAUUUCAUUCCAUAUCAUAAUACAGCAUAGCGAAAAGGAAUAAGACCAGAACAAAAGAAUAGAGUGAAAACAGCACUGUGGCGAAAUUACUGAAAAGCAUAGCAAAGUGUCUUGGUAUGAAGAAUGCUGUCAGCCCUUCCAGUGGUCCUCCAUGAUGUUAUUCACCCUAAUAAAGAACAGGUAUAUCAUGGGAAAUUUCUUUGUUUCUUCUUUUAUUUUUCAUAAAGGAAUAUGUGACAAGAGGCAAUAAAGGAUAUAAGAUUUCA